rnacentral:rRNA from 1 species
AGGACGAACGCUGGCGGCGUGCCUAACACAUGCAAGUCGAGCGAGGAGAUCCUUCGGGAUGAUCCUAGCGGCGGACGGGUGAGUAACACGUGGGCAACCUGCCUCAUAGAGAGGAAUAGCCUUCCGAAAGGGAGAUUAAUACCUCAUAACAUUGCAGUUUCGCAUGGAACAGCAAUUAAAGGAGUAAUCCGCUAUGAGAUGGGCCCGCGGCGCAUUAGCUAGUUGGUGAGGUAAUGGCUCACCAAGGCGACGAUGCGUAGCCGACCUGAGAGGGUGAUCGGCCACAUUGGGACUGAGACACGGCCCAGACUCCUACGGGAGGCAGCAGUGGGGAAUAUUGCACAAUGGGGGAAACCCUGAUGCAGCAACGCCGCGUGAGUGAUGACGGCCUUCGGGUUGUAAAGCUCUGUCUUCAGGGACGAUAAUGACGGUACCUGAGGAGGAAGCCACGGCUAACUACGUGCCAGCCGCCGC